rnacentral:rRNA from 1 species
UACGGGGGAGCAAGCGUUGUUCGGAUUUACUGGGCGUAAAGGGCGCGUAGGCGGCCACUGCAAGUCAGUUGUGAAAUCUCCGGGCUUGACCCGGAAAGGUCAACUGAUACUGCAGGGCUAGAGUGCAGAAGGGGCAACUGGGAAUUCUCGGGUGUAGCGGUGAAAUGCGUAGAUAUCGAGAGGAACACCUGCGGCGAAGGCGGGUGCUGGGCUGACACUGACGCUGAGGCGCGAAAGCCAGGGAGCGAACGGG